UUCCGGUUGAUCCUGCCGGAGGCUACCGCUAUUGGAGUUCGAUUAAGCCAUGCGAGUCUAGAGGCCUAGCCUCGGCGUACCGCUCAGUAACACGUGGGUAACCUACCCUAUGCUGGGGAAUAAGCUCGGGAAACUGAGAAUAAUGCCCCAUAGUCCACUACGCCUGGAACGGUGAGUGGAUCAAAGCUCCGGCGGCAUAGGAUGGGCCUGCGGCGUAUCAGGUUGUAGGGGGUGUAAUGUACCCUCUAGCCAUCCACGCGUACGGGUGUUGGGAGACAUUGCCCGGAGAUGGAUUCUGAGGCACGAAUCCAGACCCUACGGGGUGCAGCAGGCGCGAAAACUUGGCAAUGCGAGAAAUCGUGACCAGGGAACUCCAAGUGGCAGGGGUAAGACCCUGUCUUUUUCCGACUCUAAAUAGGUCGGCGAAUAAGGGGUGGGUAAGGACGGUGCCAGCCGCCGCGGUAAUACCGGCGCCUCAAGUGGUAGUCGCUUUUAUUGGGCCUAAAACGUCCGUAGCCGGUCUGGUACAUUCGUGGGUAAAUCAACUCGCUCAACGAGUUGAAUUCUGCGAGGACGGCCAGACUUGGGACCGGGAGAGGUGUGGGGUACUCUCAGGGUAGGGGUAAAAUCCUGUCAUCCUGAGAGGACCACCUGUUGCGAAGGCUCCACACUAGAACGGAUCCGACGGUCAGGGACGAAGCCUAGGGGCACGAACCGGAUUAGAUACCCGGGUAGUCCUAGGUGUAAACGCUGUGGACUUGAUGUUGGGGACGCUCCGAGCGUUCUCAGUGUCGAAGCGAAGGUGAUAAGUCCACUGCCUGGGGAGUACGGUCGCAAGGCUGAAACUUAAAGGAAUUGGCGGGGGAGCACCGCAACCUGAGGAUUGUGCGGUUUAAUUGGAUCAACGCCGGA
rnacentral:rRNA from 1 species